rnacentral:rRNA from 1 species
GUCCACGCCGUAAACGUUGGGCGCUAGGUGUGGGGUUCCUUCCACGAACUCCGUGCCGCAGCUAACGCAUUAAGCGCCCCGCCUGGGGGAGUACGGCCGCAAGGCUAAAACUCAAAGGAAUUGACGGGGGCCCGCACAAGCGGCGGAGCAUGCGGAUUAAUUCGAUGCAACGCGAAGAACCUUACCAAGGCUUGACAUGCACGGGUAAGUUCCAGAGAUGGUUCCCCCCGCAAGGUCCGUGCACAGGUGGUGCAUGGUUGUCGU